rnacentral:RNase_P_RNA from 1 species
GUAACAAGGCGCAGCAGGCUAAACCCCAUUCGGAGCAAGACCAAACAGAACACCAUGACGCUGCUCGCCGAGUGUUCGGGUAGGUUGCUGGAGCGCAUCAGCAAUGGUGUGCCUAGAGGAAUGACUGUCCGACGACAGAACCCGGCUUACCGUCCGGCCUGUAUG